ACUUAAAUUGAAGAGUUUGAUCAUGGCUCAGAUUGAACGCUGGCGGCAGGCCUAACACAUGCAAGUCGAGCGGUAGCACAGAGAGCUUGCUCUCGGGUGACGAGCGGCGGACGGGUGAGUAAUGUCUGGGAAACUGCCUGAUGGAGGGGGAUAACUACUGGAAACGGUAGCUAAUACCGCAUAACGUCGCAAGACCAAAGUGGGGGACCUUCGGGCCUCAUGCCAUCAGAUGUGCCCAGAUGGGAUUAGCUAGUAGGUGGGGUAAUGGCUCACCUAGGCGACGAUCCCUAGCUGGUCUGAGAGGAUGACCAGCCACACUGGAACUGAGACACGGUCCAGACUCCUACGGGAGGCAGCAGUGGGGAAUAUUGCACAAUGGGCGCAAGCCUGAUGCAGCCAUGCCGCGUGUGUGAAGAAGGCCUUCGGGUUGUAAAGCACUUUCAGCGGGGAGGAAGGCGUUAAGGUUAAUAACCUCAUCGAUUGACGUUACCCGCAGAAGAAGCACCGGCUAACUCCGUGCCAGCAGCCGCGGUAAUACGGAGGGUGCAAGCGUUAAUCGGAAUUACUGGGCGUAAAGCGCACGCAGGCGGUCUGUCAAGUCGGAUGUGAAAUCCCCGGGCUCAACCUGGGAACUGCAUUCGAAACUGGCAGGCUAGAGUCUUGUAGAGGGGGGUAGAAUUCCAGGUGUAGCGGUGAAAUGCGUAGAGAUCUGGAGGAAUACCGGUGGCGAAGGCGGCCCCCUGGACAAAGACUGACGCUCAGGUGCGAAAGCGUGGGGAGCAAACAGGAUUAGAUACCCUGGUAGUCCACGCCGUAAACGAUGUCGAUUUGGAGGUUGUGCCCUUGAGGCGUGGCUUCCGGAGCUAACGCGUUAAAUCGACCGCCUGGGGAGUACGGCCGCAAGGUUAAAACUCAAAUGAAUUGACGGGGGCCCGCACAAGCGGUGGAGCAUGUGGUUUAAUUCGAUGCAACGCGAAGAACCUUACCUGGUCUUGACAUCCACAGAACUUAGCAGAGAUGCUUUGGUGCCUUCGGGAACUGUGAGACAGGUGCUGCAUGGCUGUCGUCAGCUCGUGUUGUGAAAUGUUGGGUUAAGUCCCGCAACGAGCGCAACCCUUAUCCUUUGUUGCCAGCGGUUAGGCCGGGAACUCAAAGGAGACUGCCAGUGAUAAACUGGAGGAAGGUGGGGAUGACGUCAAGUCAUCAUGGCCCUUACGACCAGGGCUACACACGUGCUACAAUGGCAUAUACAAAGAGAAGCGACCUCGCGAGAGCAAGCGGACCUCAUAAAGUAUGUCGUAGUCCGGAUUGGAGUCUGCAACUCGACUCCAUGAAGUCGGAAUCGCUAGUAAUCGUAGAUCAGAAUGCUACGGUGAAUACGUUCCCGGGCCUUGUACACACCGCCCGUCACACCAUGGGAGUGGGUUGCAAAAGAAGUAGGUAGCUUAACCUUCGGGAGGGCGCUUACCACUUUGUGAUUCAUGACUGGGGUGAAGUCGUAACAAGGUAACCGUAGGGGAACCUGCGGUUGGAUCACCUCCUUACCUUAAAGAA
rnacentral:rRNA from 1 species